UCAUUUUCUUCUUUUCUUUUCCCGACUCUCUCUCCCAUCUCGACGAACCGAUGAAUCUCUUUCUUUCUCUCUCUCUCAAUUGGCGAUGCGAUUAACCAGUUCUUCUACUUUGAUCCCUUCUUUGAAAUUCGGAGAGAAUAAACGAUUAGUGACUAAGGGUUUGGAGAAAAAUCACUCCUUUGUGCUUGUGUGCCGUCUUCAGCAGAUACCCAACGUUGCUGUCUAUUACACCUCCGGCGAACCGUCUUCCGUCGCUGCCAAUUACAUUCCCGGUGAACCAGCCUCUUCUCCUUCUUUACAUUGUGAGAAUCCUUGUUGUGCUUUUCAAUAAAUCCAGGGAUUUAUAGCUGGAGUUGUAGUCGAAACAACUUUAUACCCAAUUGAUACAAUUAAGACAAGACUUCAGGCAGCUCGUGGAGGUGGGAAAAUUGUUUUGAAGGGUCUUUAUUCAGGAUUAUCCAAGAAACAUAACUAUUGAGAGACCAACAAAAGCAACAAAGGAAGCAGACCAAACAGUUUCAGUUACAUCCUCUAAGAAGAAGAAGAAGAAGAAGAGAGAAACUCACAAGCAAAGGAAAUCGGUUCUUAAACUCACAGCCAAACAAAGAAACUGUCUCUCUUCUACACCAACAGAAUACUCCAUAAGCUCCACCGCUUACAGAUCCUCUAAUCACACAUUCUCAUCUAUUGCUUCUGUCAAACCAUAGAACCUGUUACUGUGAUUAGACACCUCUGCAAAUCUGAUUCUCUUGUAUACCUCCUGAUUCUACAAGUGGCUAUUCAAGAACUGUUAUAGGUGUUCAUCUCCUUGAGAAUCUAUCAAACUUGAUUCAUAAUAAGAUGAUUAAUGAUCUAAUUACUGACUCAACAAACAAAACUCACCAGUAGUGAUAGUCCAGUUAUCCAAUUCUCAAGAAACAUCUGAUUCAGAUACAUACUCUAGUCUAACCAAUUCGCAAAAAACUACUUACAAAACACACCAGUAGUGACAGUCCGAUUAACCAAUUCUCAAAAAUCUCACGAGCAAAUACCAAAUCAACAUCACCCACCU